ACCAGUUUCUUGAGUAUUUCUCUAGCUUUAUUGCCUUAGUAAUUGUAGCCUAGAUCUAUAUUUCAACAGCUAGUACUAAUUUGACAUUUUCAUUAUAGGAUCAAAGGGAAAUUUAGGUGGUCAGGUGGCGAGAGACCAACAUUUUUCAUCUAACAGUUGGACAGCGGGUGUCCCUGACGCACCUGAAAACAUCGUGUUCCGGUGGCCUGGAGCUCCACUCCACGGAAAAUACUGUGAUAAAGGUGGACUCUUGUGACAGACCCCAGCACAGUAAUAUCAGUGUGAUAGAGGACAACUUACCAACAACGUUGACAGCCGGAGUGCCUGAGAGAGCGGAGGCUUCGUGGCCGUUUGUCUACCGUCGAUCAUCGGACACAAAGUAUGGCUGCGGAUCAAGAGGUUUGUACGGCUUCGUGCACCAACUGCACCCUUCUCUUAGAGAGGUUGUCCCUGCUAGAGGGACGUGUCCGCCAGUUAGAGCAGAAUUGCGCGAUAACAGUAGAUGUGGCGGA